ACGAGAUUGAUGAAGAAGAUGAUUUUUAUAUCUGUUAUGUGUCCGUGUUCGGAAGAUUUAGUUUUGUAUUACACCCGUCUGCCUGACGUUGAUGUGUCACCUUUCAACUUUUGACGGUCGACCUGAUGUGUCUUUGUUGUUUUACUGUUUAUGAGUAACUAUGUUUAAUUGUAACUUCACUUGAAACUAAGAUCUUAUAUAUUUUUACUUGGAUGACUGACUAUCAUGACAAUUUUGGAACCAAAAAUCAUAUUCAUGGUUUGAUAAUGGCCGAAAAAGGCCGAAACAUGUCACCUAUAUGAUAUAAAUAUAUGGUUCCAAAAGUAUAGAAGUGUUUUCAAGACUU